GUUGGUAGUGAGGACCACUCCGAGUGUUUGCUUGUCUCUGGGGAGCAGCCGUUGAGCUUGGGGCGUCCAAAGAGAAGUACAGCAGGUCAACAUUCAAACCCUUAUAGAUUACCAAGAUCUGUGGCAGCAGUUAGUGAAGAUUCAGAUUAAAGAAUAAAUGUUAUUUUGGGAAUUUAUUUAUUUUUAUCGUCGGGUCGCCGAUUCAUUUGGGGGGGAUAGAAUGUAGCCAGGCAAGGCCUACCAGUAGGGGGGUGUGGUUGGCUAAUUAGUCUAAGACUUUUUAAGCAGGCACUGGGCAAGAGGCCUUGAAAUGUGGGCCUUCUUUUGAAAGCACAUGGGAUGGUGCUGCUUUGUUUGGCUGUGUGUUGAAUUUGCCCCAGAUGAGAUGCAGAUGAAUUGAGUAAUGCUAACUGGGUAUGUUGACCGCUGCCUGUGUAGGUGUUUUUGACUUUGAUCUGGAUAAAUGUUCAAAAACCAACUGAUUGUUAUACCUGCUAUUUGCCAAUGAAGGUAAAUGUUUUUAAUAUUUUUAAAUAAAAAUGAGUGUACAGUUGGUAACCAUGGUUUUAAAUGUUUAGUGUUUUGUAGUGUUUUAGAUGUGAAUAAAAGCUGGAAUGCUGAUUGGCUGCUUUUUGGGUAGCUGAUAAAGGUAAAGUUGUGUUUUUGGUAUACUACUUUUAAGCUAAUAAAUGAAAUGGGGCAGUUGGUAAUUGUGUAAGAAAUGUUAAUGUUUGAAUAAAAUACAUGAUGUAUUAAUUUUUGUUUGUUUUUCUGUUUUAGUUAAGUCGAUUGCUGUUUCUCCCGUGUUGUUUUUGUUUAGUUCCCUGGUCGGCCGGUCUCAGAAGUGUGCUGCAUGGUGGCAGCAAGUGUACAUUGUGAACUGUUUGUGUACGAGUCCGGUUGGCUGGGGUUCUGUUAUCUUUUCUUCUUUUUGUUUCUUUUUUAUUGAUGACCAUCUUCCCAGCCUUAUGUCAUUAGCUCGACUCGUGCUUGUAUUCUGUGUGUGCAUCCCUUUGGGGUAUGGGAUCCAUGUUUGCUGUGGUUUUCUUUGAAGUUAUGAGUGAAGGGUUAUGUUUUGAGUUGUUUUCUAUUUGAAUUGUGGUGUUUAUUUCCAUUGAUUUUUUGGUUCUUUCUUUUUACUGUCAUAAAAAAAUUGAUGUUUCCUUAUACCUUAAAGGUUUUCCACACACAACAGAACCAGCUACUAUAGAGAGCUUUGAGCUGGUGGUUAACAUCUUUAAGAGCUGAGAUUAAUUUUGGAUUAAUUUAUUUAAAUAAAUCAUUUCAUGUCUAUGUUUAAUUGUGUACAUUAUUUGUGCCCUAUCGUUUGUAAUAAACC